rnacentral:rRNA from 1 species
GAUGAACUCUGGCGGCGUGCCUAAUACAUGCAAGUCGAGCGAAUGGAUUAAGAGCUUGCUCUUAUGAAGUUAGCGGCGGACGGGUGAGUAACACGUGGGUAACCUGCCCAUAAGACUAGGAUAACUCCGGGAAACCGGGGCUAAUACCGGAUAACAUUUUGAACCGCAUGGUUCGAAAUUGACAGGCGGCUUCGGCUGGCACUUAUGGAUGGACCCGCGUCGCAUUAGCUAGUUGGUGAGGUAACGGCUCACCAAGGCAACGAUGCGUAGCCGACCUGAGAGGGUGAUCGGCCACACUGGGACUGAGACACGGCCCAGACUCCUACGGGAGGCAGCAGUAGGGAAUCUUCCGCAAUGGACGAAAGUCUGACGGAGCAACGCCGCGUGAGUGAUGAAGGCUUUCGGGUCGUAAAACUCUGUUGUUAGGGAAGAACAAGUGCUAGUUGAAUAAGCUGGCACCUUGACGGUACCUAACCAGAAAGCCACGGCUAACUACGUGCCAGCCGCCGCGGUAA